GAAACCAAUCGAAGACUUGUUCAAGUAUGUAUUUCUACACCACUGAUAUACACAAUAAUUAUUUCAACAUUACUUCUUACUAAUAAGUACAUCUUGUUUGAAAGCCCAAAUCGAACUGCCUGUCGGUAGCAUGCCAGCGAUAAGGUAACUUCCCCUUCCAAUCGUCAACGUCAACCCGCUCAAAACGACUUAUCGAUGGCAUGCCCCGGAAGUAGUCAAGUGCAAUACCUAAUUAUGAAUUUAGUUAAUUUUAUUUCUAAAAUACCAAAUUGUAUACAAUAAAAAUUCUAAAAUAAUUACAUUAUACAAUGAAUAUGAGAUAAUCGAAUACAAUACAAAAUUAAUGCCCAAAAUCAUUCUAAUAUCUGUAACAUGUCCAGGAAGUAGUCAAAUAAAGUAUUUAAAUUUAUUAAUGGGUUUUAAAAUUCUACCAAAAUUGUUACAAUAACAUAAGCAACCAAUCGUAUAAAAUACAAUAUACAUUCUAAAAUCAUUACAUUCGGCCAUCCGUCACCGUGAUGCCUCCUGGCAUACACGUCUCAUAAAAUAAUAUAAAAUCAUUACAUUCGGCCUGGUAUUCACGUCUAAUAAAGAUAUUCUAAAAUCAUUACUAAUAAUUUGUGAAACAAUACGAAUCGUAUUUAAACAACUUUUGACAACUUGCAAAUAAUAGAUCAGAUAGAUAUAGAUCGUGUGCAAAUAAUGUUUAAAAAAAACAUAUCCUGAAUUUUAUUUAUUGUACAUUAGAGACCUUAAAAACUAGUCCCGAGUAACUUAGAUACUAUGCACACCUGGUUGUGUACAGCGAUCUAUACACACUGACUUUCUUAUUAAUGUCUAUUACUUAUUAACUUUUAUUGCCUACAGAGAGCAUAUGCCUACUCAAAGAGUAUACUGUUAAUUAUUUAUCAAUGUAAGCGACUUUCACUAGAAUUAUGUUUUUCUAAGGCCUCCACAUGAAUUUAAGCUCAAAAUUUGUCGGUCGCAUUCACAUUGCAGUCGUCUAAGUUUUACCCGCUUUUUUUUAAAAACUUGAAACACCAGCAAUCUUAUCGUUUCCUAAAAUUUCAGUUACUUUAUAGGGACCAACAAACUUUAACAGAAGCUUUGUGCUUUUUGUUUUCAGUUAAAGAACGGCCCUCACAAAAUGCAUCUACGAUAGUGACAGUGUGUGUGUUACUUACCAUAAUAAUAUAUGACAUUGUUCUAGCUAUAAAAAUAUUUGCCUGAAGUGUUUUUGGUUUAGGAGACAUAACUAACAACGACUUCUCCUCAGCCGUUGUGUAUUAACUAUUCUCGGUAAAACUAGAAUUAGUAGAAUGUUAGAACUAUCCUUCAAAAUCGUGGGAAAACGGCAGUUCCGACUAUUGUCAGUGGUCUGCAUAUACUUAUACAUCAUUGAUCACUAACACUGCAACAACGUCAAUCUUAUCAACAUUCAUGCUUAUAAUAUUAGCUCAUUCCAGAGGUAAGAACGAUAAUAUAAUUGACCAAAUCUUUUAAUUAAAAUGUUUAGUCAAACAACAGUGCUUUCAUCACAAAAAUUUAAGCACGCGUUUAUGGAUUUUCCAUUUAACAAAACAGUCUCAUGGAAUCUAUUUUUUUUUUCUUAUUAUUUAUGACUCCUUAUGAUUUUUCUCCAGAGUCAUUUUCAACACGGUUAGUGUUAGAAAUUGAAGGAAUAGGAGUGAAACUCACAGGCUAUCUAUCUAUUCAAUUGCAUAGGCUAUAUCUAACAAGCGGCUGUUAAAACAUACCACAGAGUAUAGUGGAGAAGUUUCAUGAUGUUGAAAACAUUAGAUUUCACUGAAUGAGAUUAAAAUAUAGACCAAAACUAAAAAUCCCGUGAAGUUAUUUUUGAAAUCCAUCAAGAAAUGGUUGAGAAAGUAAUUGUUUAAAUUACCUCCAUAUUUUCGCGUGGAACUUAAACGUAGGCGGUGCCGUGACGUCAGGCCACCUGUUCAAAUUUCAAUCACAAUGCUUAUCACCCCUAACGCAUUGUCAAGAAUGAUAUUAUAAUGUCGAAGUCUUUUUCUUUUUAUAUAAUGGUCAGGUCUUGGAAAUGGUUACACAAUUUUACUAAGAAGGAAUAUUGAGUGACCCUAACUGAAAAAUUAAAACUACUCGAUUUUAAAGAAAAAUGGAUCUGUCAACAGCACUGGGCCAGGGGUUACUGUUUGUACUAAUUUACUGUUUGUACUCCGAAUGACUGUCGUGACUACACUGAUCAAAAUGGCGCGAAUAUUUGUUAUGCGCAAUUUUAGGGCCCUGUAACUUUUGUAUUUGUAGAGAUAUUUUCAUGAUUCUUUCACAAUUAUUAAUAGUUUUACUUAUAUUUUCAAGUUUUAUUAAAAGAAAAAAAAAUUGGAAA